rnacentral:lncRNA from 1 species
UCCAUCCCCGCCCCACCUCUUAUUCAAACGUUUCAGUUAUUUGAUAUAAAAACACUGCUACACUGUGCACUUGCCAUGUUGGAGGACAUAUUUUAUUAAAAUUUCAUAGUUUUUAAGAAAGCCAUAUUGGUCUCAAGUAGCUUUGGAAUCUGCACAUUUGACGAGAGUUUAAUCUCCCUAACCCAUGUCCAGCCAAUGUCCUACUUUACCUGUAGGCGUUCUUCCUACCUUUACCCUUUUACCUUUGCCUGUACUGCUUCCUGUUGGUUCCUUAAUUGUGAGCUUGGCGCUGUAGUCUGUGUUUGCACCUCACAAUGUUGUAUGUUUGGAGUGGAAUUACAAAAGUUCUAACCAUCCCUUGGGAGGCGGAGAGAGGAAAACGAGUCAAUCUUUCAAAACAAACAAACUAAGAAUAAGUUGAAGACGGGCUCAAAAACAAAAAUGGGCGGAGGCCCUGCAGGGAUUUAAUUGGUCAACAGGAGAGGGGGAGGGGCUUCUCUUUGCUCGAUUGGCUCUGCGGUGAUGUGAUACAGCUGCAGGAGGAGAGAAGCUGCUGCUGGCUGAGAAGGAGGAUGAGGAGAGGUGAAGAGGAUGAAGAGUUAGUUACUCUGCACUCCGAUCCUAUUAAAACUGCAGAAUUAUAGAAAAAGUGCGAUUCAGCAAUGUUCCCCACUUUUACUGCUCUUUAACUGGAUCAGUUCAGACUUUCAGUACUUUUCUAGUUUGCAUAUGUUUCAUUUCUGAAGGCGGCCACACCGGGAAGAUGUUGCUCAAGUUGUUAAAAUGGACAGUUUGCGUUCUCGGGCUCCUCACGACGAGCAACGCCUCACCUGACGACGCAUCGGUCGACUUCGGGGGAGAGUCCGGUUCCGGGAUGCUGCAAACAGAUGAGGUGAACAUCCUGCAGGAGCUUUCUUUUCAUAUCACAAACAGCAGUAAUGCCUCCAUGACUGUGGGUGAGAGCAAGUGUCCAGUCCUGCAGGUGGGACAGUACUCCACCUUGGCCCUCCCUCUGAGACAGAUCUUCAUCGAUGGGUAAAAUGUCUUCUUCGUCUCUCACUUUUUCCUGCUCUAUCUUGCUCUUGUUGAAGGUAAAGUUAGGAAAAAAAAAUCA